rnacentral:misc_RNA from 1 species
GAAAUGCGAUAAGUAGUGUGAAUUGCAGAAUUCAGUGAAUCAUCGAAUCUUUGAACACACAUUGCGCCCCUUGGUAUUCCAUGGGGCAUGCCUGUUCGAGCGUCAUUUGUACCCUCAAGCUCUGCUUGGUGUUGGGUGUUUGUCCCGUCUCCGCGCGUGGACUCGCCCCAAAGUGAUUGGCAGCCGGCGUACUGGUCCCGGAGCGCAGCACAUGUCGCGCAAACGAGUGCCUUGGUACGGCGGCGUCCAUAAGCCCCUCUCUCACGCUCUUGACCUCGGAUCAGGUAGGGAUACCCGCUGAACUUAAGC